rnacentral:rRNA from 1 species
UACAGAGGUGGCAAGCGUUGUUCGGAAUUACUGGGCGUAAAGGGCGAGUAGGCGGCCUUCUAAGUCAGACGUGAAAUCCCCCGGCUUAACCUGGGAACUGCGUCUGAUACUGGGAGGCUUGAGUAUGGGAGAGGGAUGUAGAAUUCCAGGUGUAGCGGUGAAAUGCGUAGAUAUCUGGAGGAAUACCGGUGGCGAAGGCGGCAUCCUGGACCAUUACUGACGCUGAAUCGCGAAAGCUAGGGGAGCAAACGGGAUUAAGAA